rnacentral:rRNA from 1 species
GACGAACGCUGGCGGCGUGCCUAAUACAUGCAAGUAGAACGCUGAAGGAGGAGCUUGCUUCUCCGGAUGAGUUGCGAACGGGUGAGUAACGCGUAGGUAACCUGCCUGGUAGCGGGGGAUAACUAUUGGAAACGAUAGCUAAUACCGCAUAAUAGCAGUUGUUGCAUGACAUUUGCUUAAAAGGUGCAAUUGCAUCACUACCAGAUGGACCUGCGUUGUAUUAGCUAGUUGGUGGGGUAACGGCUCACCAAGGCGACGAUACAUAGCCGACCUAAGAGGGUGAUCGGCCACACUGGGACUGAGACACGGCCCAGACUCCUACGGGAGGCAGCAGUAGGGAAUCUUCGGCAAUGGACGGAAGUCUGACCGAGCAACGCCGCGUGAGUGAAGAAGGUUUUCGGAUCGUAAAGCUCUGUUGUAAGAGAAGAAACGAGUGUGAGAGUGGAAAG